rnacentral:lncRNA from 1 species
CAACUUUAAUACAACUUUGUGGCAAAUGGAAGUGGCAUAGUAGCCUACAAGCCCUAAACCCUCUUCAAAGGUAAGGUUGGGAGGGCCUCAGCAGCUUAAAUACAACUUCUCUUCAACGUGUUUAUUUCCACAAUGAGCCAGCUGGAGAAUUCAAGUAGCCAUCUGCGACGGACUUGCUGGUCUGGGUCUGGUUUCCUCUUAUAAGAGCAAUGGUUUGAAUUUGUAACCCGGGACUUUGGAAACUUGCAUCUUCAAGUCUCAACUCGAAUAGCCUGGGGGAACUUGCCAAUCGUAUGCAGCCUCUUCUGUUAGCUUUAUUGUUCCUGGCUGUUCAGUUUCCCAGAUGUUGAAGACAAGAUGUUGCAUACUGACACUGGAUAUCGGACCCAGUCUAUGCUUAGGUCAUCACUGUGAAAACAGAAGCGGUAUGACUCAUUUCAAGCGUCUGAUUUACACACCCAUGAAGGAGCUCCUUCAGGAACUCAGAAAUCCAGACAACAGUUUUCAUGAAGCUGAUCAGCAGGAGCUUCCUCUGCCAGGCCUGCUCCCCAAAGGAAGAACGCUCAGAGCCAGGCCUUGGAGAUGAGAGAUGAGAUGCGUAAUGAAGAGCUGUUUGUUUUCUAGAGAUCUACAAGUCAAUUUGGGAUGCUUCAUCGGCCAAGUUUCUAUCUCUGUACUAGGCAACCAUUACAUGUUUACAGUUUGAAUAAAAUGUCCAUCCUUGCUUUCCAUGGGCAUCUGUACCUUGUUCAAACCACUCUGCAAUUUCAGGCAGACAAAGGCUUCCAAGUCACAAGGCCUGUUUGCGUAAUAGAAGCCCAUUAAGAUUGAGCAGAGGCAGCAUGUAUUAUAGUGAUUUCUCCCUUUGUGGGUUUCGCAAUUUUCCUCCCAAGCUUUGGUGCUUGAAGAUGGCAUUUUCAAAACUGGAAUUAACUACCAGAAAAUGUAUGACACAUAGUUGCCUGCAACCAGUUGGUAGCCCAGGGGACCUCACUGAGCCAUGGCUGUUUACCAGUUCUUUUUAGAGGAAGGAUAAACUUUAACAGGUUGCUUCAUUUAUAUGGCUUCAGGGGGUUAUAAUUAUUAUUUUUAAUAGAUGUUUUUCAAAUUCAGACCUGAGGAGAAAGCCUGUUAUGACUCUUCACUACGCAGUACAAUCUGAGUGUAAAUUUGAAGCUAUCAGGGGGCUCCUGAUGUCCAUAGUGACUGUUGCUACUUCAGACAUUGCCAAUGUAAACAGAUCACCCAUUAAUAAUGACUUCAGACAUUGUAUUUUUUUAUUACAUGGAGCAAUGGUAUACAUGUGUAUGUGCAAUUAUCUCCUAUGUUUGUUACAUUUGAAAACUUGCUAAAAUUUUAUUGCCUAAUCUUGAUAGAAGUUAGAAGAACUAACUAAACAAAACCAAAGGCAUUCUGUUUUACCAGUGAUGCCAUUCACCAGGUAGCAGAGCACUGGCGUUUGUGUGGGUUUUGGUUCCUACACAGCAUAUAAGUGCUCAAUAAUGACAUGGAAUAAAAAUUUAAAAAAUCUGCAACACGCAUUUGAACAGA